CCUACGGGGGGCAGCAGUGAGGAAUAUUGGUCAAUGGACGCAAGUCUGAACCAGCCAUGCCGCGUGCAGGAAGACGGCCCUAUGAGUUGUACACUGCUUUUGUACGAGGGUAAACGCAGAUACGCGUAUCUGUCUGAAAGUAUCGUACGAAUAAGGAUCGGCUAACUCCGUGCCAGCAGCCGCGGUAAUACGGAGGAUCCAAGCGUUAUCCGGAUUUAUUGGGUUUAAAGGGUGCGUAGGCGGUCGGAUAAGUUAGCGGUGAAAGCCCGAGGCUCAACUUCGGAAUUGCGUCUGAUACUGUCCGGCUAGAGAGUAGUUGCGGUAGGCGGAAUGUGUGGUGUAGCGGUGAAAUGCUUAGAUAUCAUGAAGAACACCGAUUGCGAAGGCAGCAUAC
rnacentral:rRNA from 1 species